AGGAUGAACGCUGGCGGUCUGCUUAACACAUGCAAGUCGAACGGAGUAGAAAUACUUAGUGGCGGACGGGUGAGUAACGCGUGAGAAUCUACCUUCAGGACGGAGACAACAGUUGGAAACGACUGCUAACCCCCGAUGUACUGAAAAGGCAAAUAUUUAUAGCCUGAAGAAGAGCUCGCGUCCGAUUAGCUAGUUGGAGAGGUAAAAGCUCACCAAGGCGACGAUCGGUAGCUGGUCUGAGAGGACGAUCAGCCACACUGGGACUGAGACACGGCCCAGACUCCUACGGGAGGCAGCAGUGGGGAAUCUUGCGCAAUGGGCGAAAGCCUGACGCAGCAACGCCGCGUGGGGGAUGAAGGCUCUCGGGUUGUAAACCCCUUUCAGUAGGGACGAAAUCAGACGGUACCUACAGAAGAAGCCCCGGCCAACUACGUGCCAGCAGCCGC
rnacentral:rRNA from 1 species